ACUGCAUUCAUUCUACUGCGUAGAUGCACCCAUGGUUGGUCAGAUAGCCUGGUUCUAAACCACAUAGGGACAGUUGUGUCAUCAGAAGUCUCCAAAGUCUCCAAUGGCCAUUCAAAAAAUCACGCAACACCCUGGGUCUGUGUUAGACCUUUUUUUCUGAACAGAAAAUGAUCUUGUGGAUACUUCUGGUUUCGGUGAAAGAGCUGGGUGUUGAAAUAUAUAUACGCUUAUACACAAGCACAGCAUCCUUCUCCAACUGUCAUCUUUCCAUCAGCCUUUAAAUGCACAGCUUUUUCUCCCCUUCUCCCACAUGAUGUCUUUGUUAAUACACCUGUUUGAAGCUGUUCUCUAAAAGUGACAUUUUUAUUCGAUCAUCCUUCCCCCCCCCCCCAACCCUAAAUAUUAUAUAACCAGCCCGGAUGAGCUCACAAUGCAGAUUAAAAGGAGAAGUGAAAUCCUGGGACUCUGCAGUUGGUGCAGCGAUUUUCUGACUAAAGUGAAAUCCUUUACAGACUACCUGGUGCCUGUGAAGGUCACUGCUCUCACCUGUGGACUAGUUUCGGGAGUGAUCAAUACUCUGUCCUGUACAAACACUGCUUCCUAACUUUCCUGAAUAAAGGGGUCUUCAAAAGCAACUGGACUGAAAUUUCCAUUAUACUUCACCACUGGCUAAUGCUGUCUAGGGAGUUGCAAUCCAACAAUAGUCAGAGAGAUCCAUGAUCCCUAACUAUAUUAUAGGAGGUAAGAUGGUGUGUAAAUGACACAAAGACAGUUAAUGGCCCGCUAAACCUAGCUCUGGAUGCCUAUUAUGAGUCUCAGCCUGUUGUUGAUAACAUUAUUUGAACCAAAAGCAAGGAAAAUAAUCCAGAAUUAUUAUUUUUGUUGAGUUAAAUUCUGGGAAACAAAAAAAAA
rnacentral:lncRNA from 11 species